rnacentral:rRNA from 1 species
GAUGAACGCUGGCGGCGUGCCUAAUACAUGCAAGUCGAGCGAACGGACGAGAAGCUUGCUUCUCUGAUGUUAGCGGCGGACGGGUGAGUAACACGUGGAUAACCUACCUAUAAGACUGGGAUAACUUCGGGAAACCGGAGCUAAUACCGGAUAAUAUUUUGAACCGCAUGGUUCAAAAGUGAAAGACGGUCUUGCUGUCACUUAUAGAUGGAUCCGCGCUGCAUUAGCUAGUUGGUAAGGUAACGGCUUACCAAGGCAACGAUGCAUAGCCGACCUGAGAGGGUGAUCGGCCACACUGGAACUGAGACACGGUCCAGACUCCUACGGGAGGCAGCAGUAGGGAAUCUUCCGAAAUGGGCGAAAGCAUGACGGAGCAACGCCGCGUGAGUGAUGAAGGUCUUCGGAUCGUAAAACUCUGUUAUUAGGGAAGAACAUAUGUGUAAGUAACUGUGCACAUCUUGACGGUACCUAAUCAGAAAGCCACGGCUAACUACGUG